rnacentral:rRNA from 1 species
GAUGAACGCUGGCGGCGUGCUUAACACAUGCAAGUCGAACGGGAGCCCAGGGGUGCUUGCACUUUUUGGGGAGAGUGGCGAACGGGUGAGUAACACGUGAGUAACCUGUCCUUUUCGUUGGGAUAAGCAUUCGGAAGGGUGUUUAAUACCUGAUGUUCUGUCUGCCUCGCAUGGGGGGGAUGGGAAAGGCUUGGGCCGGUGUUGGGGGGGCUGGCGGUCUAGCUGGUUGGCGGGGGGGUGGUGGACUAAGGCGGCGUUCGGGGGUUGGUGUGAGGGGAUGGUGAGGGGGGUUGGAACUCAGACGGGGUCCAGACCCCUACGGGAGGCAGCGGGGGGGAAUAUUGGGCGAUGGGGGCAAGCCGGAUCCAGCCAUACCGCGUGGGUGAAGAAGGGGUUCGGGUUGUAAAGCGCUUUUGUUGUGAAAGAAAAGCAGCAGGUGAAUACCCCGCUGUUCUGACGGUACCCAAAGAAUAAGCACCGGCUAACUUCGUG